UGAAUACUCAGAGAAGGAGUGGGUAGUUGCAGACAAAUUUGGAGGCCGGUGCUCAAGUCAACAUGAUGCCAGGAAAUAUUAAUGUAGGAGAAACGCUGGCAGUGUAAGCCUCUGUGACCAGUAUAGAUAGACGAGACAUAAUAAGGAGUAUCUAAUGGAAGUUCAGCGAAUGUGGUGGCAAUAACAGUGCAUCAAAGACUGCUUUCUUAUGCUGACAGAACAGGAGCAAUCAGUUGUUGAUUGCCUUCAUUUAAGUUUUCAAGAUCCUCUACACACUUAUGCUAAUAGGAGAUAACCAGAGGAAUACAGGCAAGACAAAUCUUUGCUUUUUUCUCCCCUUCCAUCCUUAACAGCAAAUCCAUUUUAAGUAGACGACUCCUUGUAUUGUGUCCUUCAGAUAAAGAACUGAUGCCAUAAAUUGUCUCUGAUACAUAAUUAAUAUUUUAGUUAACGUUUUUUUUCCCUCCUUGCUCUUGCUCCAAAUAACUUAAUUAUUGUUUCAUUUUGAUCUGUAUGAAUUUUGCGUUUCACAAUGUCUAGAAUUUAUCAUUAGAUUAUUAAGGUUUUCACCUUUUCUGUUUUCCUGAAAAAUCUUGUUUUUUUUUUUAAGAACUGUUUUGUUCAUAUUUUCUUUCCUUGUCAGGGAGCAUCUUCUGCGAUUGAAUCCCUUUUCUGAUCAAUUCAAUGCCUAUUCCACAUCAGCAUGAUUGAAUAUUAAUUAAGUAUAUUAAAAUACACUGACUAGAGCCUCUAAUCAAUGCUGCUACUUCUUAAUUUUUUUAUUUAAGAUAGUAAACCCACAGGAAAAUAAUUCUGAGUGUCUUGAUUAAUAUAAACCAAGUAGGGUAAUUUACAAAACAAUCUCUGGAGGUACAUAAGCAAAAUUUAUUAAUCAUAACCACAGCAGACUACAAAACUCAAUUACAAAUAUUUACACUUCUGUCACAGGCACUUAUCUGAUCCAUGCCAAAUGCUGACAGAUUUUAAAGACAAUCACAUUAAGUAUUAAUCAAGCUUGAAGGAUGCAGCCAAGAAACAGCAUACUAAAGAGAUACCCAUCUCCAAAGACAACUGCACGCUCUGAAUAUUCA
rnacentral:lncRNA from 1 species